rnacentral:lncRNA from 1 species
GGGGGAAGGAGCAGCGGGAAGGAGAUGGAGCGGAGCAGAGGGGGAGGCGAGCCGGGGCGGGGCCGAGGAGCUCAGUGAUGUUGCCCUCAGGGCUCGUCUGAGGGAUGUCGUCCCGGGACAUUUCACUCUCUCUGGUGUUAGCCGGGAUGAGAGAAAGCAAACUCUCCGGCUCUGCAGUUUGUGGGGAAUUCAGGGCAUUCCUGCCUUUAUUUCCCGGCCGGGCAGUGCCGGCCAGCCCUGUGCUCCUCCUCAGGGGUUUGUGGCGGUAGUUCCGGACGGGGCCUCUUGUCUAAUUUCCAGCUUCUACUUUCCAUCUGAAUCAAUAGAUGUUUCUGGGUUUUUGUUUACUUCCCCUUUCCACGUAUUUACGUAUCCAAUUCCCACUCAUUUGUUGUGUUAGAUUACAUAGGCCAAACCUUUGGAGCCCUGCAUGAUCCUACAAGCACUUCCCUGCUCAUUGGGAUGUAUGUUCUGCGGCACUUUCUCGAUUUAAAUGCUUUUUAAAUGCUUUUUCUCCUGAAAGGGGCUGCGGCAUGGAGUGUCAGACGGCGAUGCCUCAAACACAACACUAAAGUUUUCCCGAAGUUAGUGGAAAUUCCAUGACUGGACUCACACUGGUCUGUUUCAGUCACACCACGCUGUCAAUUUCCUGUCACCUGCGGUUGACAUCCUGUCUUUACCUCAUGGAUUAUCAUAUUCAUCCUUACUGAAAAUCAGUUACAGAACUGUGAAGGCAGCUGUGAGGGCCAAAUUUUUCCUUUUAUGUGGCCUUUGUGCUCUUAUUAUCAGCAGUAGAUGCUCACAGGAGGAAAGCAGUCAUCUGGCAUGAUUGACAUUGAUUUUCUGCCUCAGAGAGCUUGAAUGGGAGAAGGCUCAGAGCUGCACAAACAGAACGGGGAGUUAGAAGCAGAGCCUUUCCACUGGCCUCAGGUGGCAUUUGAUCAGGAUCUGAGUGAUAACAGAUGGAAACAAAUGCCACAUUCUUAUUAUACAAUGUGUUUGCCUUCAAACUACGAGAUAUCAUUAGACUAUUGUCACAAAAAUAAAGUCCAGAGACAGUUAUAAAGGUCCUGGCUUGUGACAGACUGAGCCAAAUCUGAUGGUGCUGCAGGGGUGAACAGGGACAC